GUUUGUAGCACUUCUUUUGGGCCGAAGGGGAAGGCACGUCCUGCCUCCAGCCGCUCAGGGAGAGCGGAACGGAAGUGAGGGGUGGUGGUGAGGAGUCGGGGGAACUGACAGACCGGUGGACCCGACGUCGAGAGUUGAUGGCGUCGGUGACGGAAGGGGGCGUGUAACUACGUUGUAAAUUCUUCUUAUUAAAUACCUGGUUGCUGCUUACACAAUAUUGGCCUAACUUUGGGAGCCCACCUGCAUCACUGUCUGAAAUGAAGUUAACUGGACUGAUCUAUUAUCAAGACCAAAAGACGCACUCAAUGAGAUGGAACAAUCUACCCACUCAGCUUCUGGACUGUGAAACUUCCUAAAGUUUCAAAGGUGGGACUGUGGACAAUCAGAAUUGGCCACCCCAAAAUAUGUCUCUUUGGCUUGAUUAUUUUUAAGAACAAGAGACUCUGAAAGAAACUUUGACCUUCCCCCUAAUUGCCUAAAAGAAUUCAAAAUGGAAGGUCUAUCCCAGAACUGGCCAUCACCAUAGAUAACUCUGGGUAUGGUAGGCUGGGAGGAUCUUCACAAAGCCCAUUUUUAUCAGAGUUCUUUCUUGGGUCACAUUGUCUGUAGAUGGCCCAGCAAACAUUUGUUUAUCAAACAUUUGCUUUUCCAUCUCCAUGUAAAUUGCCUUCCUCCCCUUUGAAGUCCCAAACCACUACCCUCAACAUCCUCCUUUGUCUUUAGCUGAAGAUGGUAUUUAAGGUGAUGGCUUGAGCCAUUCUGAUGAGUGACUCAGUUUUCCUGGGUUUCUCCCAUGUAUACAUGUUGUUAAACUUCAUUUGAUUUUCUGCUGUUAUUCUGGCUCAUGUCAAUUUAAUCCUUAGACCAGCCAGAAAGACCUAGAGUGUAGAGGAAUAGUUCAUCCUCCCCUUCAGCUGAAAAUACACAUACUCUGUGAACCAGCAGUUCCACUCCUAGAUAUAUACCCUAUGCAUACACAUGUGCACCAGUAGACCAGAAAAAAGAUGUUCGUAGCAACAUUUUUCAUAAUUGCCCCAAACUGGAAACAGCCUAAAAGUCCAUCAACAAUAGAAUGGAUAAAUAAUUUCUCGUAAAUUCGUAGAAUGGAAUGCUAUAAUGCAACGUUGAAAAUGAUGAACUAAUGCUACAUACAUCAAUGUUGAAUCUCAGAAACAUAGUUGUAAGGGAAAUGAGCCCGAUACAGAAGGAUACAUGCAUUAUAGUUCUAUUUAUAUAAAGUUCGAAAACAGUUGUAUUUGGGGAUUCCUAUUUGAGUCGUAAAGCUCUAAUGAAAAGCAAGAAAGUAAUAGCGAUACUGUCAUGACAGUGGUUUCUUUUAGGGGAGAGGAAAGAGGUUGUGAUUGGGCAGGGGCUCACAGGUAUUUCGGAAGUUCUGACAAUGUUCUAUUUCUUGAUGUUUGUGGUAGUUUCCUUUAUAAUAACUUAUUAAGCUGUAUAUUUACAUUUUGUGCAUUUUCUGUUUUUUUUUUUCCCC
rnacentral:lncRNA from 1 species